rnacentral:misc_RNA from 1 species
AACCAGAUUAAAACAUUUAUUAUCAAACACUUAACCCAUUAAAACCAUGGUGUUGUAGACUGGGGGUGGAAUAUUUGCACCAAUAUGGUGACUAAAUGUGAGCAAUGUAUCAUUUUUCGAGCAAAACCCCCAAGGUUGCACAUGCUUCGAACAAGCCUACAGCCUCAUUUUA